AUCCUUUUCUGGUUUAUAAUCAUGACUGGGUUCUCAUGUGCUUGUAUGACAUGUGCUUCUUCAAACCUUGUUAUGAUGUGGGCACAUUACCCAUCUGACA
rfam:Dipodomys ordii contig_48137, whole genome shotgun sequence.